rnacentral:lncRNA from 1 species
GGGGGUAGAAGGUGCCUGGCUAGGCUGCUGCCUGGGACACGAGGCUAGUGCCAAAAUGGCAAAGUGCCAUUGUCCCUUCCUGAUUUUAGGCGCGCAGAGCUCCGAUCUGAGCCGCUAGGUAGUCUAAGAUGAAAAGGCAGGGAAAUUAAUGAUUUCUAGACCCCUCUUUAAGAGCUCAAAGGAAAGCAAAAUGAAAACUCCUAAGACACUUAGGAUACCCGCCCAUUGGAAGCUGAUUUUGCCGGGAAUAUUAUUUGUGUGGAAUCUGAAAUUAUAGUGGAAAUUUCCACGAUAACGCAAGGAUCUGUCUUCAGGUCAACAGAGUUCCUAAGAAGCAAUGGACAAAGACCCAGAGUCUGUGCUGGGGGCCUUGGAAGGCUCUAAACCCUGAGCAGCAGUUUACAGAAGAGGCGAACAAUAUGGAUAUGGAGACAAUCUCUUAGGAGACUUGGGAGUGCUCUCCUGUAGGAUCCAAGACUUCUCAUCUUUCCGAUGCGAACUGAAUUAUGCUAGCAUGUCAACCAGGACAUUUCAGAGAAGCAUCGAACAGAAACGUGUUAGUAAACCUCUUACCAGAACACCCUCACUAUCGAUUUUUUUUUGUCACUAAAACACAAACCAGCAUGGGACAUUAAACAGGACCUUUGGUAUUUGGUGUUGGGAAAAUGCCCCCUUGGAUCUAGAGCUCUUUAGGAGUAAUGGCUUCCCGAAAAGAACUAUAGAGAAAAAGAAGGCAGAAUAACCCAGGUGCCUGAGCAUCUUUGAGGAGGUAAGGAAAACUCUUUACUCUUUGCUGUUUGUGAGCUCUGAAUCACCAAUUGUUUGCUAGUCAGGCUUCCCCAUUUGCCAGGAAGGAUCAAUAAUGUAAUUGGAAUGACCCUGCACUCAACUGUCCCUGCCUUCUGAUGCCCGCCUCCCCUCUCUGAUCAGAAGGCCUCCUCACUGGGGACACUGAAAGCUGAAUAGUUCAGGGACAGAGCGAGGCAUUACUGCAUUCCUGUCCAGUGAAAGGCAGACUCUCUGGAGAGCCUUUCCUCUGUUUUGUUUUGUGUGUUUUCAAGGAGUCUGGAGAGGGUGUUUAUGUCGUGGUGCACGUUCCCCAUUUGGCAUCUCGAUGGCGAAGCAGAGAGCUUUCUUGUUGUCCAUGUCCUCUGUGAUUUGAACUUGUGAUGAUUCUUCAGCUAGCUCUGUCCUUCAUCUAGAAAAUUAGUGUUGCAUUAUGAAGCCCAAAAGAGUUUUCCUAGCCACCACAUAGCAGUACGUAUAAUAACUUAAAUGUUCUACAGAAAAGGCAUUCCCCCAGCGUGGGUGAGUGGAAGAAUAGGCUCAUCAAGUUGUUCAGGCUUUGCAGAUUAGAGUUCCAGUUUCGUGAAAUCUCCCAUGGUUCAUACCUGGAAUCAGCUCCAAAACAUUUUCGAAAUUGGAACACUGAGCAUUCUCUAUGGGCUUGCAGUCAUUUCAAAAUAAUAUCCCUUAAUUAUGUGUCAUGGAUUGUUUGAUGAGUAUCUGCUGGGUUUGGCAUAUGUCAUUAGCCAUGAACAAUUGUACCUGGCUGUUUUUAAUUAUACCAGCUUUAUGCUUACAGUAGCCAUGGGAGGAAAACAAAAGAUUUUGCUGAGCGGGAGCAUUUUGCUUUUUAAAAAAUAUUUAUUUUGUUUUUGAUGCUCCUGCAGCCAAUCCACUCUUGCUAGGCAGUCCACUCUUCAGUUCAGUAUGGCCUUGAACUCAUGUCCCCCUGCCUUAGACUUUAGGGUGCUUGGGUCACACAUAUCUCCCUUUAAAGUUUUAUCUAUCUAUCUAUCUAUCUAUCUAUCUAUCUAUCUAUCUAUCUAUCUAUCUAUCUAUCUAUCUAUCUAUCUAUCUAUCAUACCUAUCUAUCUAUCUAUCUAUCUAUCUAUCUAUCUAUCUAUCCAACAUCUAUCUAUAUCUUAUCUAUCCCUAUCUACCUAUCUAUUUAUCUACCUAUUAUCUAUCAUCUAUCUACCUAUGCCCCCUCCUCCCCCUGAAAGAUUUUUUUCUUCUACAGCAGGCUAUGCUGCUCAGUCUAAUCCCCUACUUCUGCAUUUCCCCAUCCCUGGCUGCUGUUACUUUCUCCAUGAAAAAUUGUGAAAGGUCUAAGCCAAUUAAGAUCAUUUGAUUUCCUCGUCAGCAAUUGGUUCAAAGAUGUCCAUGUGACACAGUUCUACCCAAUGAGAUGUGAAAGAAGCUUGUCUGGCAUGUUUCUGGGAAUGGCUUCUUGGCUGAUGGAACUAGGUCCUUAGAAAAAUGAUCUCAGCCAGGCAGGCUGUGGUGGCACACUCCUCUAAUCUCACUGGGAGUGAGGGAGGUGGGAGAGGGGCAAGGGGCGAGGGGCAAGGGGCGAGGUGCAAGGGGCGAGGGGAGGAGAGGAUAGAGGGGAGAGGGGACAGGGGAGAGGGAGAGGGAGAGGGAGAGGGAGAGACUCUGCAUUUCCCACCCAAUAUCAAUCAGUACUGUCGAGGUCUAUGACAGUACUAACUGAGAGACUUAGCUUCUGAGAGGAACUAGUUGGUGACUACAGAGGGUACAGCUGAAAGAAGGACUCAACCGGGGUCUUUGGUCCUCCUUAG